AUUGAACGCUGGCGGCAGGCCUAACACAUGCAAGUCGAACGGUAACAGGAAACAGCUUGCUGUUUCGCUGACGAGUGGCGGACGGGUGAGUAAUGUCUGGGAAACUGCCUGAUGGAGGGGGAUAACUACUGGAACCGGUAGCUAAUACCGCAUAACGUCGCAAGACCAAAGAGGGGGACCUUCGGGCCUCUUGCCAUCAGAUGUGCCCAGAUGGGAUUAGCUAGUAGGUGGGGUAACGGCUCACCUAGGCGACGAUCCCUAGCUGGUCUGAGAGGAUGACCAGCCACACUGGAACUGAGACACGGUCCAGACUCCUACGGGAGGCAGCAGUGGGGAAUAUUGCACAAUGGGCGCAAGCCUGAUGCAGCCAUGCCGCGUGUAUGAAGAAGGCCUUCGGGUUGUAAAGUACUUUCAGCGGGGAGGAAGGGAGUAAAGUUAAUACCUUUGCUCAUUGACGUUACCCGCAGAAGAAGCACCGGCUAACUCCGUG
rnacentral:rRNA from 1 species